rnacentral:snRNA from 1 species
GCGCUCGCUUUGGCAGCAUGGAUACUAAAAUUGGAACCACGCAGAGAUUGGCAUGGCCCCUGGGCAAGUAUGCCCCGCAAAUUCAGGAGGCUUUUCUGUUUUGG